GAUGAACGCUGGCGGCGUGCCUAAUACAUGCAAGUCGAGCGAACGGACGAGAAGCUUGCUUCUCUGAUGUUAGCGGCGGACGGGUGAGUAACACGUGGAUAACCUACCUAUAAGACUGGGAUAACUUCGGGAAACCGGAGCUAAUACCGGAUAAUAUUUUGAACCGCAUGGUUCAAAAGUGAAAGACGGUCUUGCUGUCACUUAUAGAUGGAUCCGCGCUGCAUUAGCUAGUUGGUAAGGUAACGGCUUACCAAGGCAACGAUGCAUAGCCGACCUGAGAGGGUGAUCGGCCACACUGGAACUGAGACACGGUCCAGACUCCUACGGGAGGCAGCAGUAGGGAAUCUUCCGCAAUGGGCGAAAGCCUGACGGAGCAACGCCGCGUGAGUGAUGAAGGUCUUCGGAUCGUAAAACUCUGUUAUUAGGGAAGAACAUAUGUGUAAGUAACUGUGCACAUCUUGACGGUACCUAAUCAGAAAGCCACGGCUAACUACGUGCCAGCAGCCGCGGUAAUACGUAGGUGGCAAGCGUUAUCCGGAAUUAUUGGGCGUAAAGCGCGCGUAGGCGGUUUUUUAAGUCUGAUGUGAAAGCCCACGGCUCAACCGUGGAGGGUCAUUGGAAACUGGAAAACUUGAGUGCAGAAGAGGAAAGUGGAAUUCCAUGUGUAGCGGUGAAAUGCGCAGAGAUAUGGAGGAACACCAGUGGCGAAGGCGACUUUCUGGUCUGUAACUGACGCUGAUGUGCGAAAGCGUGGGGAUCAAACAGGAUUAGAUACCCUGGUAGUCCACGCCGUAAACGAUGAGUGCUAAGUGUUAGGGGGUUUCCGCCCCUUAGUGCUGCAGCUAACGCAUUAAGCACUCCGCCUGGGGAGUACGACCGCAAGGUUGAAACUCAAAGGAAUUGACGGGGACCCGCACAAGCGGUGGAGCAUGUGGUUUAAUUCGAAGCAACGCGAAGAACCUUACCAAAUCUUGACAUCCUUUGACAACUCUAGAGAUAGAGCCUUCCCCUUCGGGGGACAAAGUGACAGGUGGUGCAUGGUUGUCGUCAGCUCGUGUCGUGAGAUGUUGGGUUAAGUCCCGCAACGAGCGCAACCCUUAAGCUUAGUUGCCAUCAUUAAGUUGGGCACUCUAAGUUGACUGCCGGUGACAAACCGGAGGAAGGUGGGGAUGAUGUCAAAUCAUCAUGCCCCUUAUGAUUUGGGCUACACACGUGCUACAAUGGACAAUACAAAGGGCAGCGAAACCGCGAGGUCAAGCAAAUCCCAUAAAGUUGUUCUCAGUUCAGAUUGUAGUCUGCAACUCGACUACAUGAAGCUGGAAUCGCUAGUAAUCGUAGAUCAGCAUGUUACGGUGAAUACGUUCCCGGGUCU
rnacentral:rRNA from 1 species